UUUUGUGUUUUCUCUAUAGCAGAGCAUUUAUGGAUGAUGACAGCUUCGUUUCUUCCUUUCCACUCCUCACACAUUUCUGUUCCUUGCCUCUCUGUACUAGCUGGGGCCUCUCCUAUAAUAAAAAGCAGGAGUCAUAAUAAUGGACACUCUAAUCUGGUUCCUGAAAUGUAAUGCAUUCAGUGUUUCAGCAUUAAAUGUGAUGUUUACUGCAGUGGUUUUAUUUUGGUAGAUAUAAAUGUUUUACCAAGCUAACGAAAAGUUCCUUCCUAUUUGUAUUUUGGUAAGGUUGUUUUCAUGAAUGGGUGUAGAAUUUCAUCCAAAGCUUCUUUGUGUCUCUAUUGGGAUGAACGUAUUAUGCUUCUUUCUCCUUUCAUCUUCUAAAGGGCUGCCUUACAUUGAUUUUCAAUUGUUAAACCAACCCUGCCUUCCUAUUAAUCUCAACUUGAUCUUGAUGUCUUUUUUUUCCCCAAAUACACUGCUGAAUUGUUGGCUAUAUUUUGAGGUGGUUUUUGGUUUGCUUGUUUGUUUGCGGGGUUUUUUGGUUUUUGGUUUUGGCAUCAUGCUUGGUAGAGUGAGGUUCGUUUCUAACUUCCUUCUCUCAGAUUGGGAAGUUUUCUUCUGAUUUUUAGUAUCACCAUCACCCUAGCACAUAAAGCAAGCUGGGAAAGCAUCCUCUUGUUUUUUGUAUUCUGGAAUAAAUUACAGAGAACGGAAAAUAAUUAUAAAUGAGAGGCCACCCAGCAGUCAAUGACAUUUGAGCUGAUUUUUUUUUUUUUUUUUUUCCUUGCUGCCUCCCUCACUUCUAAUCUCUGGGAUUAAAGCCCACUUUCCAAGCUCAACAGAAAUUUAGCUGUUUCUUCCAUUGACUCUCCAAACUGCAACCAGAGUGAGCUGUCCUAGGACAUCCUGCACGUCCUGCUGCGGGGUGGUGGUGGGGGGUGGUCAGUGACUUCCCAGCAGGCUUACGAUCAACUGCUAGUGGGGCCCUCAGUUAAAGGCGCCUACGAGAUUUUCCCUAGAACACGUUAAGGGUUCUGAUACGUUACCAAACUGCCACCUAGCUGCACCGGCUCCCCUCCCCCGCGAGGAGGGACGGAGAACCGGCGCCAGGCCGAGGGCGGAGGCUCUGUCAGGCGCAAAGGGCCGGGUGGCGUGCAGCGGCCCCUCCUGUCCUCUGCCUGAGGCUCUGAGGUGCCGUGACUUUGGAGGGAGGGCUCGCCAAGCCCGCAGAGGUGCGGCUCUCCUCUGAAAUGGAACUCCGUUGACAGAUGGCCAUGACCCUUUGGGCCCCUGCGCCAGGUCCCCUUGGCCAGGGUGUGCUACCUUCAGAGCAGCGCACGUUUCCUGUUCAGCUCACACUGGCAGCUGUCUGCUUCCAGCACCUGGUCGAGCUCCUUCCUGCACCCGUCUCCAGGGGGCUCCACGAAGUUCAGGAUCUUCAAAUGCCUCUCCGCGUUUUUUUUCACUGCCUCUGUUCCCACUCCAGGAGGUGUGUCUUCCAUCAGCCUCUGUUUUCAGGUUCCUUCUGGCAAACUUGAAGCACAGAUACCUUGUAUGAACUUGAACUUGAACCUGGUGAAGUGGCUCCUGCCCCAUCCUGACUCUGUGUCAGAGGGAAAGCUGGGGUGGCUUCUCCUUCAGAAGUUGCCGAAGCGGAUGGUGUUUCCUUUGGACACACCCUGGGGGAAAUUGGUUCCCGCUGCAGCUCUGCCACUAUUUCUGAUGUGUAGGUGGAAGAAGUGGCCAAAGGGACACGACUGGGAAUCUGUGCUGGGCAGGGCACAGGUGCCAGGUUUCCUCUGUGGAGCACAGCCACGAGGCCAGGUUGAGCUAUACGCAUGGGGUGGGCAGUGCAGAAGCUGUGGAGCCCUUGGCCUUGGCACUUCAGACUGUCUUUGCCCUUCUGCAUGGAGACCUGGCUGAGGCUGGCCUGCUCCCAAAGCAGGGGAUUCCUGCAUUGAUUUGUGCUCGUGGAAAUGUCUGUUCCCGGAGGUGAGGUGGUCUCUUCCUUUCCAGGAGGUGGAGGACUGACAGGCGCUUUGGCUUUGCUGCUGCCCUUCCUCCCAGACACCUAGUCCUCCUCAUAUGGUUUAUGUUCUGCUGUUGCUCUUCAUAAUGUUCUUAGAAUGGGAAUCAGUGGUGGGGGCAGCCAGCUGGCUGACACCCCACUUCUGUCGGCAGCAACUCCAUGCAGGUCCUUGGUGGGCUGCUGUUGGUUAGAUCUGCUGAAGCCUAGGGUUUCAAGGCAUGAUGUGGCCCUCCAGCUUGGCUCUCUUGCACCCCCGAAGCAAAGAGAUGGCCCUCCCUUGGUUGUGCUUCCGGCCACCAAAGAGCCUUGGAUCUCUUCCCUUUUGGCAUACAUGGACACCAUCAGCUCAGUCGGCCAGGGAUCCUGGUGGUCAGAGAGCGGCUCCCCUAAGGCUUUAGUUAGCCUCAUGACCUGUUUUCAUCCAUGGAUCUUUCUCAAUGGGCUCUAAAGUCCCUCUUCUGCUGGGAUUGAGAAUGAGAAAUUUCUUGAGCAGUUUUUCACAUUUCCUGGACAUGUGAAAGGGCAUAGGGUGUAUUUCACUGAGUACCCACUCCCGCAGCUCCUUGAAGGCGGGGGGUCUAUCAAAAGGCUGGGUCUGCUGACUAGUAUACAUAGGAUGACCUUCAGAUUCCACGCAUCUACGGAGGGUCCGUCUUAUCUGGACCUGAGUUCCAGGGCAGAAUAAAGGGGGGCUGCCAAAGGCAGUAUGCAGCUUGUUGCCAAAGGUGAAUUCGUUGCUGAAGCCAAAGUCUUCAAACCUGAUUUUCAUAUCAGCAUCCAAAAGCAAGUGUUCUGCCUUUAACUCUGUGAACAAUGCACUUCUGGUGACAGUACUCCAUUGAUGGAAUCAGCCAGGACCUCUUUUUCUUGUGGACUUCCAUGAGCCGCUAGGUACACACACACGUCCUUCCAUUGAGUACUUCCUGACAAAGCAGUGGAGCACUACGAAUAGGUGUUUGGGGAUGACUCAGGUCCUUCGUGAUUCUUACUUCAAGGGACCAUCUCUGGAGUUUGGAGGAGCUUCGCUAAGUCUUGUCAAUGACCUUCAUGGCUACCUCUUUCCCAAGGCAGGAUAUACUGAGCCACCUUCGGCUUGGUCAAGUUGUCCUUGAUAAUGGUAUUGCCUACUGGCAGUUGCCCAUGCGGGCGUCCACCUCAGCAGAGAUGGCCGAGAUGCCUACGGCGUGUUGGACUUAACUGCUGACCUGGGAGUCAAGGUGUCCCAAGGUCAACUUAAAAUUGGGAAACACUGGGUCAGGAACUUGACCCAAAUCAGCUCAAAAGAAAAUCACUCCCAGACUCCCCCUGAUGAACUGAUGUUAUAAUGGAAUCAAAACACAAUGCCAGACUUAACAGAUAAACAAAAACAAAGAGUAACUAAAUAAAAGGGGGGGGGGAAUGCAAAACCCAAAUCUAAAAAAAGAGAGUAUGAGGGAAAAGAGUAAAGAAAAGAUGAAAUUGAGAAAGAAAAAGGAAGAGAAAAGGAAAAUGAAGGGAAAAAGAACAAAAAUGGGAAAAAGGUAAAAAUUAAAGACAAAAUUUUUCAGAUCACUGAAAAGCAGUUUUGUGAACUAGAAGAAAAGCUAGGGAGUUAAGCAGAGGCUUGAAGUCUUCUAACGAUGGUUUCAUGUAAGGCCAAACUAAGAAAUGGGCCCAUCCAAGCUGGGUCCCAGCCACAGGGGUUUUCUCACAUUGGGGACUCUACAAGGCUUUAUUCUUUUGUUUUUGCUCUUUUUAAAUGGCCACACCUGCAGCAUGUGGACGUUCCCAGGUCAGGGACCAAACACAAGCCGGACCUGAGAUGUGUGCUGGAUCCUUAACCCACUGUGCCAGAGUGGGAACUCCUAGAACACUUUACUCUUUUAAACAAAAUAUUGAGGAUCCACCUCCCCAAGAGUUUUUGGCUUAAUGGGUUAUAUCUAUCAAUAUUUACCUUACUAGAAAUUAAAACCUGUAGGAUACUUCAGGGCUUUCUCAUUUACAGUUUGAAAAGCUGUCAUAAUGUUUGUCUUUGAAGAGUUCAUACUGGCUACACUGGAAAAAAGUUAUAUAUGAAGCAAACUGGAUUGUUAUCUUUUCUGUGGUGAAUUGAGCAUUAUUUUACUAGUCAUUAAUCAGAAAUAUUAGCCUUUCCCAUAAGUCAUAGUGGUUUUAAAUGUCACACUAUCUAUUAUGGUAUGGUUAUCCAUUUCUGAUAUGUGAUUUUGUGUAAUUGUUCAACUUUGUUCAUGGUCCGAUUGGUCUAAACAUCUGUCAGUGAUGAAUAUUCACAAGUAUGAAAGUGAAAAGACUCACAUUUGCGUUGUUUAUACAAAAUGAGUCUCAGUGCUACCACAUUCAUUACAAAUAGGUUUGUAGGCAGACAAUCAAAACAGGAUUUCUAAUACCUUUGAUUAAGCAAUGAGGUCAAGUCACUUCUUUUUUUUUUUUUUUUUUCUUUGUAUGGCUGCACCUACAGCAUGUGGAAGUUUCCGGGCUAGAGAUCAAUUUGGAGCUGCAGCUGCUGGCUGCAGGUGCCGGCCACAGCCACAGCUAUAGCAACAACAGAUUAUCUGCAAUCUGUACUGCAGCUUGCGGCAACACUGGAUCUUAACCCACUGAGGGAGGCCAGGGAUGGAACCUGCAUCCUCAUGGAUACUUUGUCAGGUUCUUAACCUGCUGAGCCACAGCAGGAACUCCUCAAGUCACUUCUAAACUGAUAAAGUUAUAAGGUCAGUGAGACCCUAACAGUGAAUCAGUGAUUACGGUGCAGGGGAUUAUGUCACAACUUUAGAGGAAUAAAUACUUUUCUAUAACAAACAUGUUAAUAAAUAUAAUUUCCUGAAACAACAAAUAACUAAUACAAUUUCCUAAAAUGAACAACCACGUAGGAUAGCCUAGACAUGGAAGGUUACAUUUCGUGUCAUUUGAAAGUUAGGAUGUUUGACCACAGAACUUGAUGGAACAUUGUAAAUCAACUAUACUUAAAUAAUAAUUUAAAAAAUGUACAAAGAAAAGUUAGGAUGUUUGAAGACAAAUCCAUGCAAAAAAACGAAACAAAACAAAACCAGGAGAAUUUCACUGAAGAAGUUUCAGAAAAAGAAUGUAUCUGACUGGAGGCACUUUUACUGUCAUCUGGUAUAAUAUUUAUAUUUUUAGAGUUUCCACAGAAACCUUUUCCAUAAAUAUCUUCCAGCUUUUACCAAACCUAACAGGACACAGUGGUGAGCUCAGGGCUUCAUCUUCUCAAGGCACCAUUGCCAACAACCUUCCAUUUGUUUAAUGUUCCUCAUGAAACUUUUAUCAUUUCUAGCCUUGGUUUCAAUGAUGACACGAAGACAAGGCUGAAUUAAAGUAUACAUGGCUCAUUUUGUUCCCACCCUUCUCAUUUGGUUAUAAUAUUGCAUGUGUUUUACAUUUUAAUGUCCAAUUGACAUAUUCUACAACUGAGUUCCACUAAACAAAACGUCUCCUUAAGGGGAUACCACUGGUUCUCUGC
ensembl:lncRNA